UACGUAGGUCGCAAGCGUUGUCCGGAUUUACUGGGCGUAAAGGGUGCGUAGGCGGCGCGGUAAGUCGGGUGUGAAAUCUCGGAGCUUAACUCCGAAACUGCAUUCGAUACUGCCGUGCUUGAGGACUGGAGAGGAGACUGGAAUUUACGGUGUAGCGGUGAAAUGCGUAGAUAUCGUAAGGAAGACCAGUGGCGAAGGCGGGUCUCUGGACAGUUCCUGACGCUGAGGCACGAAGGUCAGGGGAGCAAACGGG
rnacentral:rRNA from 1 species